rnacentral:rRNA from 1 species
UACGUAGGGUGCAAGCGUUGUCCGGAAUUAUUGGGCGUAAAGAGCUCGUAGGCGGUCUGUCGCGUCUGCUGUGAAAAUCAGGGCUCAACCCUGGACCUGCAGUGGGUACGGGCAGACUAGAGUGCGGUAGGGGAGAUCGGAAUUCCUGGUGUAGCGGUGAAAUGCGCAGAUAUCAGGAGGAACACCGGUGGCGAAGGCGGAUCUCUGGGCCGAUACUGACGCUGGAGGAGCGAAAGCGUGGGGAGCGAACAGG